CUCGCGCCAACCGCAAGGAGGCAGGCGACCCAACGGUAGGGUCAGUCGACUGGGGUG
rnacentral:rRNA from 1 species